rnacentral:rRNA from 1 species
AGUGAACGCUGGCGGUAGGCCUAACACAUGCAAGUCGAACGGCAGCACAGUAAGAGCUUGCUCUUACGGGUGGCGAGUGGCGGACGGGUGAGGAAUACAUCGGAAUCUACUUUUUCGUGGGGGAUAACGUAGGGAAACUUACGCUAAUACCGCAUACGACCUACGGGUGAAAGCAUGGGAUCUUCGGACCUUGCGCGAUUGAAUGAGCCGAUGUCGGAUUAGCUAGUUGGCGGGGUAAAGGCCCACCAAGGCGACGAUCCGUAGCUGGUCUGAGAGGAUGAUCAGCCACACUGGAACUGAAACACGGUCCAGACUCCUACGGGAGGCAGCAGUGGGGAAUAUUGGACAAUGGGCGCAAGCCUGAUCCAGCCAUACCGCGUGGGUGAAGAAGGCCUUCGGGUUGUAAAGCCCUUUUGUUGGGAAAGAAAAGCAGCAGGUUAAUACCCCGCUGUUCUGACGGUACCCAAAGAAUAAGCACCGGCUAACUUCGUG